rnacentral:rRNA from 1 species
AUUGAACGCUGGCGGCAGGCCUAACACAUGCAAGUCGAGCGGAUGAAGGGAGCUUGCUCCUGGAUUCAGCGGCGGACGGGUGAGUAAUGCCUAGGAAUCUGCCUGGUAGUGGGGGAUAACGUCCGGAAACGGGCGCUAAUACCGCAUACGUCCUGAGGGAGAAAGUGGGGGAUCUUCGGACCUCACGCUAUCAGAUGAGCCUAGGUCGGAUUAGCUAGUUGGUGGGGUAAAGGCCUACCAAGGCGACGAUCCGUAACUGGUCUGAGAGGAUGAUCAGUCACACUGGAACUGAGACACGGUCCCGACUCCUACGGGAGGCAGCAGUGGGGAAUAUUAGACAAUGGGCGAAAGCCUGAUCCAGCCCUGCCGCGUGUGUGAAGAAGGUCUUCGGAUUGUAAAGCACUUUAAGUUGGGAGGAAGGGCAGUAAGUUAAUACCUUGCUGUUUUGACGUUACCAACAGAAUAAGCACCGGCUAACUUCGUG